GGGAUAAAUCUGGGGCUGAGUACAAGCAAAACAAGACCAAAGGAAGCUACCUGAGCAGGUAUUCCAGAUACUCAUGUCAUACACCAAGGUUGUACCAGUGCCCCUUUCUCUGUGACACAUCCAUCCACUGGAAACUUUCGUACAACUAGCUGAAAGAAGAGAAACAUCCUAUUUCAUGUCACUGGAGCCCUAAUGAUCGCAGCCAUUUCAGGAAAUGCCAUCAAUUACAGUGAGGAGCUCAUUCAGAAGUGAAAGAUGAGUUCCAUUCUCUGUUACUUAGAGUUUUACGGCCCCUACAUUUUGAGAACCCAACUGCAUCUGAGAACCAAACUUCUUGGAAAUUCUAAAGGGCAUGCCAUAGGCAGCCUAGCUACUUUAACAGAGCAUUUCAAUCAGUUUUUCUCCACGGUUUGGCCAAAUAAUUAGUAUGUUUCCUGGCAACACAUUGAGAAAGAAAGCUGGUAUAGAAUCUUCCUAACAAUGGACCAAGAUGAGAGAAGAAGCCAGUCAUAUCCAUUUCUCAACCUUCGGUCUUCUUGCAUAUGGGGGAAAGGUGUGUCCUCAAUUUCAAAUAUGUUUGAAGAUUUAACUAUCACUCAUGCUUAGAAAUUUUAAUUUUUGGAUUGAUACUUUGUUUUACUCAGGAAUGAUCAGAAAAGUUUUAAACUGCACGAUUACAAUUCACAAAAAGAGGAAAAACCAGUUUUAAUUAGUAAAUUUAACCAGAAAUUGAGCUUCAUGAUAUUUAAAGGGAUGGUGGGUUUUAUGAUUACUCCUCAUAGAUUCUGUCUGUUCAAGUUUUUAAUUACUAGAUCUGACAUUUUGCAUGAGUUUGUUCAUUUGACAGGAUCUGGACAUUUAAAAAUAAAACUAAAAAAAAAUUGUUCGAUAUACAAAGAUACAAAA
ensembl:lncRNA novel transcript